CCUACGGGGGGCAGCAGUGAGGAAUAUUGGUCAAUGGACGAGAGUCUGAACCAGCCAAGUAGCGUGAAGGAUGACUGCCCUAUGGGUUGUAAACUUCUUUUAUAAGGGAAUAAAACGAGGCACGUGUGCCUGUUUGCAUGUACUUUAUGAAUAAGGAUCGGCUAACUCCGUGCCAGCAGCCGCGGUAAUACGGAGGAUCCGAGCGUUAUCCGGAUUUAUUGGGUUUAAAGGGAGCGUAGGUGGGUUGUUAAGUCAGUUGUGAAAGUUUGGGGCUCAACCGUAAAAUUGCAAUUGAUACUGGCAGUCUUGAGUACAGGUGAGGUAGGCGGAAUUCGUGGUGUAGCGGUGAAAUGCUUAGAUAUCACGAAGAACCCCGAUUGCGAAGGCAGCUUACUAAACUGUGACUGACAUUGAUGCUCGAAAGUGUGGGUAUCAAACAGGAUUAGAUACCCGAGUAGUC
rnacentral:rRNA from 1 species